UAAACUCAAAUUUGUAUGGUGUUGGGACGUUUGCCUACGUUUGCCGCUAAGCACGUUAUUCCAACUACAUACACAUUUGAGUUA
rnacentral:pre_miRNA from 1 species